UUGAAGGAGAACCAAGUUAGAGUUUAAGAGCAUGUGGUCGCAGUUGAGAUAAUAAGUUUGUCUAAAUGAGGAAGAAGGAAAAGUGUGUUGUCAUCUUCAGCUAGGCUAAGGUGAGGGUGGUAUUUGCGAAGCAUGGUAUCAUUUUCUUUUGUUAUGCUUCUUGACGCAUGAUAUGUAGGCUUAGAUCUGAUUGUAUAUGAAACAACCCGACCCAUUUUUAAAAAAAAUAUAAUUAAAUAUUCCUAUAAAUAUCUAAUUAAACCAACCAAUAAAAUAACAAUUAAACCGCAAGUCAAAAAUACUAUUUUAUGAAUAAAUAAACAAUUCGACCAACAAAACCAAGAAUAACUAACAAUACUAACCGGGUUCCAAUAACCAAAAACACCAAAAUAAAACAAACGAGUUCCUACAUCAUCCUCUCUUCCUUGCCAUGAUUCCACGAUCACACUUUAUCUUUACCUUAACAAAUUGAUUCUAAUAGCAAUUAAAGCCAGGAGAGACUCUCCUUGCGUCUGAAACAGUCCAGAAACGUCCGUUAACUAUUCAAUCGCUACGGUGAAAUCCUAGCUGCAGACGUCACAAAGCUGCCCACAAAAUCUCGUGCCGAUCGGAAAACAGACGAGACCACGAUCUCAGUUUCAAUCUUCGCUGGUCCUAAUUCGCGUCUGAGAAAACGUGUCUCACGAAACUUUUACCACGAUUUGAUAUGACGAAACUGAUUUCUCCCAAACCCUAACGAUUCUGCUCCUUCUCCUUUAUAAAACGAAAAGUGGCUAACUAAAGCCCUAAUUUCGAGUUUCCUUCUUUUAUAGGUACACUUUAGGGUUUUCAAUUAACCCAACCAAUUAAACCGGAUGAUUUAAAAACAAACCCUAACCGAUUUUCCGGUUCACGGGCGUUACAGUAUAUGAUAAGAUUACAUGAUGAUAUGACUUUAUGAUUGUUGAGUAUGGUGUUUGAUAAUGUGAUGUUAUGUAUGAUAUUAUAAGUAUGUUUAUGUUAAGUAUAAGUAUGUGUGUAUGAUGAUUAUGUAUGUUUCUAUGAAAGACUGUGGAGAAUCGAGGUAUGGGCAGUGGUCUCCGUAGUAAUGUGGACAGUGAUGGGCCGACGGGUUACAUGCUGGUCAAGAAAGGCUGACGAGCCUGGGAUGCAUGGGAGUGUCUGAGCCACGAGGGCCAGCCUCCACUUAUGAGGUUCUAGUCAUCACGAGGAUGACUGGACCUAACGAUGUGUAUAUUUAUAUUAAUAUAUAUAUAAGAUGAUUGUUAUGAAUAUGUUGUUAGAAGUUAAAGCAUGUUAGGUUGAUUGUGUGUGAUAAAUCUAUAUGUUAUGAUUAUGGUUGUAUAGCUUUAGAAAGUGUUCUAUGUUUCAGUGGGCAAAGUUGAUUCCCCUCACUGAGUAUUCUUUACUCACCCCCUUUUUUUCCUUUUUUCCUCAGGUUAGUAAGCGUGAGGAGUUGUGUGCAAUAUUUUGUUCGAGUAUGAAGUUUAAAGAAAAUGUUUUUGGCAAGAUCAGAUAAAUAACAUGCUGUCUUAGUCUAUAUGGCGGGGCGGGUGUUACACUUAGAUUCUUGUAAAGUAAGUGACAAAACUUGAGAGGGUAAACUGUUCAAUUUA
rnacentral:sRNA from 1 species